AUGUGCAGCAGGAUGGCCCCAGCAGGGCCACGGGGCCGGGCACCGGCUCCUACGGGAGCGGUGAGACCGUGCAGUACGCACAGGUGGCAGGGGACGGCUACAAGGGCCAGCAGCACGUCCCGUGUCGCCUCUACCUCCGCUCCAGCUCCACGCAGCCCCUGCUUUUCGACCGCAGCCCCAGCCCCAAACCCUACGAGAACCUGUGGUUCUAUGGGGCCACCCCCAGCCACGGCUGCCAGGGGGCCGGGGGCUUCUUGGAGGAGCCCCUCAUCGACUUCCCCCUGCUGCAGGGCCUGCAGAUCAGCGGGGCCGAGGAGCUCCACGACUUCCAGCGGUGUUAACGACGCCAUCCUAUUAUGGGACCAAAGACCCCAGACCAAACCCUGCUCCAUGAUCCUCCCCCUAUGCCCCCCAAGCUGGGCAUGGAGCCUCCCUCCUGCUGCCCCCCAAGGCCCUGCAGCCCCCAGGGGUGCUCUGUGGGGACCGUGGGCCUCUCCCUUUUGCUUUCCCAUCCCCUUUUUUGAUCCCAUCCCCUUUUUUCUCCCAUCCCUUUUGCUCUCCCAUCCCCUUUGNNNNNNNNNNCCAUUACGGGACCAAAGACCCCGGACCAAACCCCGCUCCGUGAUCCCCCCCCGUGCCCCCCAAGCUAGGCAUGGAGCCUCCCUUCUGUUGACCCUAAGAGCCUGCAGCCCCCGGGGUGCUCUGUGGGGACCCUGGGCUUGUCCCUUUUGCUUUCCCAUCCUCUUUUGCUUUCCCAUCCCUUUUUUUUCCCCAUCCCUUUUGCUCUCCCAUCCCCUUUGCCCUCUGCUCCUGUCCCCCACGCCCCCCAAGCUGGGCACGGAGCCCCCCUCCUGCUGCCCCCCAAAGCCCUGCAGCCCCAAGGGGUGCUCUGUGGGGACCGUGGGCCUGUCCCUUUUGCUUCCCCACCCCCUUCACCCUCCUGUCCCCUUUAUUUUCCCCCUCUACCCCUGUCCCCCCCCACGACCCCACAGCCUGGCUGUGAGGUGCAGGCAACCCCUCCCUGCAGAGCAGCCCUAA
rnacentral:lncRNA from 1 species